rnacentral:rRNA from 1 species
UGGGGAAUUUUUCGCAAUGGGGGAAACCCUGACGAAGCAACGCCGCGUGGAGGAUGAAGGCCUUCGGGUCGUAAACUCCUGUCGACUGGGAAGAAUGCACCUGACCUAAUACGUCAAAGUGUUGACUGUACCGGUGGAGGAAGCCACGGCUAACUCUGUGCCAGCAGCCGCGGUAAUACAGAGGUGGCAAGCGUUGUUCGGAAUUACUGGGCGUAAAGGGCGCGUAGGCGGCCCGCCAAGUCCCGUGUGA